CAGUGACUGAGCACAGACCACCACCAUGGAGCUGGGGCUGCGCUGGGUUCUCAUUGUUGCUCUGUUGAAAGGUGUGCAGUGUGAGGUGCGGCUGGUGGAGUCUGGGGGAGGCUUGGUGCAGCCUGGGGGGUCCCUGAGACUCUCCUGUGCAGCCUCUGGAUUCACCUUCAGUGAUUACUACAUGUACUGGGUCCGCCAGGCUCCAGGAAAGGGGCUGGAGUGGGUUGCACAAAUUUAUAAAGAUGGUGGUAGCACAUGGUACACAGUAUCUGUGAAGGGCCGGUUCACCAUCUCCAGAGACAACAGCAAGAGUACACUUUACCUGCAGAUGAACAGCCUGAGAGUGGAGGACACGGCCAUCUAUUACUGUACUAGAGACACAGUGCAGGAAAUCCAGUUGUGA